rnacentral:rRNA from 1 species
GAUGAACGCUAGCGGCAGGCUUAACACAUGCAAGUUGAGGGGCAGCAUGAACAAUAGCAAUAUUGUUUGAUGGCGACCAGCGCACGGGUGCGUAACACGUAUGCAAUCUACCUUAUACUGGGGCAUAACUCCGAGAAAUCGGUGCUAAUUCCCCAUAACACUACAGAGUGGCAUCACUCCAUAGUUAAAGUUCCGGCGGUAUAAGAUGAGCAUGCGUCCAAUUAGCUAGUUGGUGAGGUAACGGCUCACCAAGGCUACGAUUGGUAGGGGUUCUGAGAGGAUGACUCCCCCACACUGGUACUGAGACACGGACCAGACUCCUACGGGAGCAGCAGUGAGGAAUAUUGCACAAUGGGCGCAAGCCUGAUGCAGCC